UACGAAGGGGGCUAGCGUUGUUCGGAAUCACUGGGCGUAAAGGGCGCGUAGGCGGCUUUAUAAGUCGGGGGUGAAAGCCUGUGGCUCAACCACAGAAUUGCCUUCGAUACUGUAGAGCUUGAGACCGGAAGAGGUAAGUGGAACUGCGAGUGUAGAGGUGAAAUUCGUAGAUAUUCGCAAGAACACCAGUGGCGAAGGCGGCUUACUGGUCCGGUUCUGACGCUGAGGCGCGAAGGCCAGGGGAGCAAACGGG
rnacentral:rRNA from 1 species